GAUUCUGUGGUAUACUGAGUUCAAGUAAUUAACAGAAGCGAGAAUUGUUGUGUCAUGCAUGAUGAAUUUUCCUUUCGAGAUUACCGUUGUUUGUCACUAUAUUUAGGUUUAUAAAGGAGAUUCAUCACUAUGCAACAAGGCACAGUUAAAUGGUUUAACGCAGACAAAGGCUACGGCUUUAUCACUGGUCAAGAUGGCCAAGACGUAUUUGUACACUUCUCCGCUAUCCAAGGCGACGGUUACAAGACUCUUGACGAAGGCCAAGCUGUUUCCUACGACAUCGAACAAUCCGAUCGUGGGCCUCAAGCUGCUAACGUUAACAAGCUGUAAUUUAUAGCUUUUAACUUGAAAAACCGCUUUGACAUUCGUCAAGGCGGUUUUU
rnacentral:sRNA from 1 species